rnacentral:rRNA from 1 species
GUGAUGCCUGAAGAUAUUAUGGCCUAAGGGCUCGCCCGCGGUUUCUUAAUUCUGAUGUGAAAGUCCCCGGCUCAGCCCGGGAGGGUCAUUGCCAAACUGGGAAACUUGAGUGCAGAACAGGAGAGUGGAAUUCCCCGUGUCGCGGUGAAAUGCGUUGAGAUGUGGAGGAACACCAGUGGCGAAGGCGACUCUCUGGUCUGUAACUGACGCUGAGGAGCACAAGCGUGGGGAGCGAACAGGAUUAGAUACCCUGGUAGUCCACGCCGUAAACGAUGAGUGCUUACUGUUAGGGGGUUUCCGCCCCUUAAUGCUGCUACUAACGCAAUGGGCACUCCGCCUGGGGAGUACGGUCGCAAGACUGAAACUCAAACGAAUUGACGGGGGCCCGCCGAAGCGGUGGAACAUGUGGUUUUAUUCGAAGCAACGCGAAGAACCUUACCAGGGCUUGACAUCCUCUGACAACCCGACAGAUAGGGCUUUCCCUUCUGGGACAGAGUGACGGGUGGUGCAUGGUUGUCAUCAGCUCCUGUCGUGAGAUGUUGGGUUAAGUCCCGCAACGAGCGCAACCCUAGAUCUUAGUUGCCAGCAUUCAUCUGGGCACUCUCCGGUGACUGCCGGUGACUAUCCGGAGGAAGGUGGGGAUGACGUCUGAUCAUCAUGACCCCUUAAGACCUGAGCUACUCUCAUGGACUACAGUAGACCGGUAACAAAGAGCUG